rnacentral:tRNA from 1 species
GGCAGUAUGGCACAGUAGGUAGUGUGCUAGGCUUGGAGUCAGGAACACCCAGGUUCAAAUCCAGUUACUUCUG